AGAGUUUGAUCCUGGCUCAGAAUGAACGCUGGCGGCAGGCCUAACACAUGCAAGUCGAACGAGGUAGCAAUACCUAGUGGCGGACGGGUGAGUAACACGUGGGAACGUACCCUUUGCUACGGAAUAGCCCUGGGAAACUGGGAGUAAUACCGUAUGAGCCCGAGAGGGGAAAAGAUUUAUCGGCAAAGGAUCGGCCCGCGUUGGAUUAGGUAGUUGGUGGGGUAAUGGCCUACCAAGCCGACGAUCCAUAGCUGGUUUGAGAGGAUGAUCAGCCACACUGGGACUGAGACACGGCCCAGACUCCUACGGGAGGCAGCAGUGGGGAAUCUUAGACAAUGGGGAAACCCUGAUCUAGCCAUGCCGCGUGAUCGAUGAAGGCCUUAGGGUUGUAAAGAUCUUUCAGGUGGGAAGAUAAUGACUGUACCACCAGAAGAAGCCCCGGCUAACUCCGUG
rnacentral:rRNA from 1 species